GCAGUCGAGCGAUGGAUUAAGAGCUUGCUCUUAUGAAGUUAGCGGCGGACGGGUGAGUAACACGUGGGUAACCUGCCCAUAAGACUGGGAUAACUCCGGGAAACCGGGGCUAAUACCGGAUAACAUUUUGAACCGCAUGGUUCGAAAUUGAAAGGCGGCUUCGGCUGUCACUUAUGGAUGGACCCGCGUCGCAUUAGCUAGUUGGUGAGGUAACGGCUCACCAAGGCAACGAUGCGUAGCCGACCUGAGAGGGUGAUCGGCCACACUGGGACUGAGACACGGCCCAGACUCCUACGGGAGGCAGCAGUAGGGAAUCUUCCGCAAUGGACGAAAGUCUGACGGAGCAACGCCGCGUGAGUGAUGAAGGCUUUCGGGUCGUAAAACUCUGUUGUUAGGGAAGAACAAGUGCUAGUUGAAUAAGCUGGCACCUUGACGGUACCUAACCAGAAAGCCACGGCUAACUACGUGCCAGCAGCCGCGGUAAUACGUAGGUGGCAAGCGUUAUCCGGAAUUAUUGGGCGUAAAGCGCGCGCAGGUGGUUUCUUAAGUCUGAUGUGAAAGCCCACGGCUCAACCGUGGAGGGUCAUUGGAAACUG
rnacentral:rRNA from 1 species